rnacentral:rRNA from 1 species
GGCUACUACAUCCAAGGAAGGCAGCAGGCGCGCAAAUUACCCAAUCCCGACUCGGGGAGGUAGUGACAAUAAAUACUGAUACAGGGCUCUUUUGGGUCUUGUAAUUGGAAUGAGUACAAUUUAAUUCCCUUAACGAGGAACAAUUGGAGGGCAAGUCUGGUGCCAGCAGCCGCGGUAAUUCCAGCUCCAAUAGCGUAUAUUAAAGUUGUUGCAGUUAAAAAGCUCGUAGUUGAACCUUGGGCCUGGCUGGCCGGUCCGCCUCACCGCGUGCACUGGUCCGGCCGGGCCUUUCCCUCUGGGGAGCCGCAUGCCCUUCACUGGGCGUGUCGGGGAACCAGGACAUUUACUUUGAAAAAAUUAGAGUGUUCAAAGCAGGCUUAUGCUCGAAUACAUUAGCAUGGAAUAAUAGAAUAGGACGCGCGGUUCUAUUUUGUUGGUUUCUAGGACCGCCGUAAUGAUUAAUAGGGACAGUCGGGGGCAUCAGU